rnacentral:rRNA from 1 species
UACAGAGGUGGCAAGCGUUGUCCGGAUUUACUGGGCGUAAAGAGCGCGCAGGCGGUCGUUCAAGUCGAGUGUGAAAGCCCCCCGGCUCAACUGGGGAGGGUCACUCGAUACUGAUCGACUCGAAGGCAGGAGAGGGUAGUGGAAUUCCCGGUGUAGUGGUGAAAUGCGUAGAGAUCGGGAGGAACACCGGUGGCGAAGGCGGGUCUCUGGGCAUUUCCUGACGCUGAGGCGCGAAAGCGUGGGGAGCAAACGGG